AUGAACGCUGGCGGCGUGCCUAAUACAUGCAAGUCGAGCGAACAGACGAGGAGCUUGCUCCUCUGACGUUAGCGGCGGACGGGGGAGUAACACGUGGAUAACCUACCUAUAAGACUGGGAUAACUUCGGGAAACCGGAGCUAAUACCGGAUAAUAUAUUGAACCGCAUGGUUCAAUAGUGAAAGACGGUUUUGCUGUCACUUAUAGAUGGAUCCGCGCCGCAUUAGCUAGUUGGUAAGGUAACGGCUUACCAAGGCAACGAUGCGUAGCCGACCUGAGAGGGUGAUCGGCCACACUGGAACUGAGACACGGUCCAGACUCCUACGGGAGGCAUCAGUAGGGAAUCUUCCGCAAUGGGCGAAAGCCUGACGGAGCAACGCCGCGUGAGUGAUGAAGGUCUUCGGAUCGUAAAACUCUGUUAUUAGGGAAGAACAAAUGUGUAAGUAACUAUGCACGUCUUGACGGUACCUAAUCAGAAAGCCACGGCUAACUACGUG
rnacentral:rRNA from 1 species